CAGCACUGAGCAGAUAUAACACUGCUCCUUCUCAUUCUUCAUCAGUGAGGGGCUGAUGCUGGACACUGUAGGGACCGAGAAUGCAAAGUCAUAUACACUACUGUGACUGAUGCACUAUUUCCAGGAUGUGGAGUAGCAUUUCCGGACCUACAGCAAGAUGUUGGAUGAAGACGGAGAUUUCCAGACCUAUUCCAGAAGAAUUUGGAUGAAGGCACAGCCCCUCGAAUCACGCACAUACACAGACACAUUUGCCCAAAUUCUAGAGGUAACCUCCUUUAGUAUGCCCAGAGGAAGGGCAAUACAGUAGCCAUGGAUUCCCUACAGGUUUCCUCCCCUCUGGAGGUUUUUCCUGUCCUGAGUAUUAGUUACUGUACGCUCUUUGUGAGUGAUGGAGGUUACAAAAAAUCCCUACACAAACAUUUUUAUAUAUAAUAAAUAAAGUUCCCCUUUUUAAACCA